GAUGAACGCUGGCGGCGUGCCUAACACAUGCAAGUCGAGCGAGAAGUCUUGGAACGAAGCUUCGGUAGAGUGAAGAGAUGGAAAGCGGCGGACGGGUGAGUAACGCGUAGGCAACCUGCCCCAUACAGAGGGACAGCCUUGGGAAACCGGGAUUAAUACCUCAUAAUGCAUUCACACUGCCUGGUGUGGAUGCCAAAGAUUUAUCGGUAUGGGAUGGGCCUGCGUCUGAUUAGCUGGUUGGCGGGGUAACGGCCCACCAAGGCAACGAUCAGUAGCCGACCUGAGAGGGUGAUCGGCCACAUUGGAACUGAGACACGGUCCAAACUCCUACGGGAGGCAGCAGUGGGGAAUAUUGCACAAUGGGCGCAAGCCUGAUGCAGCAACGCCGCGUGAGCGAAGAAGGCCUUUGGGUCGUAAAGCUCUGUCCUUGGGGAAGAAACAAAUGACGGUACCCUUGGAGGAAGCCCCGGCUAACUACGUGCCAGCCGCCGCCGUAAUAC
rnacentral:rRNA from 1 species